AUACUUACCUGGCAGGGGAGAUACCAUGAUCACGAAGGUGGUUUCCCCAGGGCGAGGCUUAUCCAUUGCACUCCGGAUGUGCUGACCCCUGCGAUUUCCCCAAACGUGGGAAACUCGACUGCAUAAUUUGUGGUAGUGGGGGACUGCGUCCGCGCUUUCCCCUG
ensembl:snRNA U1 U1 spliceosomal RNA